rnacentral:rRNA from 1 species
GCGAUCAUACCUGCACUAAUGCACUGGAUCUCAUCAGAACUUCGAAGAUAAGCGUACUUGGGCGAGAAUAGUACUAGGAUGGGUGACCCCCUGAGAAGUCCUCGUGUUGCACCCC